CUAAGCCAUGCGAGUCAUUGUAGCAAUACAAGGCAGACGGCUCAGUAACGCGUAGUCAACCUAACCUAUGGACGGGAAUAACCUCGGGAAACUGAGAAUAAUGCCCGAUAGAACACUAUACCUGGAAUGGUUUGUGUUCCAAAUGAUUUAUCGCCGUAGGAUGGGACUGCGGCCUAUCAGUUUGUUGGUGAGGUAAUGGCCCACCAAGACUAUUACAGGUACGGGCUCUGAGAGGAGUAGCCCGGAGAUGGGUACUGAGACACGGACCCAGGCCCUAUGGGGCGCAGCAGGCGAGAAAACUUUGCAAUGUGCGAAAGCACGACAAGGUUAAUCCGAGUGAUUUGUGCUAAACGAAUCUUUUGUUAGUCCUAGAACCACUAACGAAUAAGGGGUGGGCAAGUUCUGGUGUCAGCCGCCGCGGUAAAACCAGCACCUCAAGUGGUCAGGAUGAUUAUUGGGCCUAAAGCAUCCGUAGCCGGCUCUGUAAGUUUUCGGUUAAAUCUGUACGCUUAACGUACAGGCUGCCGGGAAUACUGCAGAGCUAGGGAGUGGGAGAGGUAGACGGUACUCGGUAGGAAGGGGUAAAAUCCUUUGAUCUAUUGAUGACCACCUGUGGCGAAGGCGGUCUACCAGAACACGUCCGACGGUGAGGGAUGAAAGCUGGGGGAGCAAACCGGAUUAGAUACCCGGGUAGUCCCAGCUGUAAACUAUGCAAACUCAGAGCCGUUAAGUUUGCCGCCUGGGAAGUACGUACGCAAGUAUGAAACUUAAAGGAAUUGGCGGGGGAGCACCACAAGGGGGUGAAGCCUGCGGUUCAUUGGAGUCAACGCCGGAAAUCACU
rnacentral:rRNA from 1 species